UCUUAGAAAACUAAAAUAUGGAGUCUAUCUGGUUAGAAUUAACGGCGGACUAGAAAGUAAACUUAAAACAAGAAAGAUCGAAGACCGCAGAUUGAGUCUGUGAUCAUAUGUUUAUUGGACUAAUACGUUCGUGCACUUUGUUCACUGGGGUCGCAUGAUUUAAACGAUGUCCAGCUAUGGUCAGUUGGAUGGCCUGCACAUCUCGGAUACAAACAACAUAAAAAGAUGUUGGUGGAAGAUGGCAAGUCUGGAGAAAAGAUCUGCUUCUUCGAUUUGAGAAACUGACAUUUAAAACCUGUUUACAGCUGAUGCUUAAAGCUGUCAUUGAGGGUGAUGAAGCAGUAGAGACACUCGCCCUUCACCUUGUGAGGCCGGCUCACCACUGCAGCCUCCACCACA